UACGGAGGGAGCUAGCGUUGUUCGGAAAUACUGGGCGUAAAGCGCACGUAGGCGGCGCAGCAAGUCAGGGGUGAAAUCCCGGGGCUCAACCCCGGAACUGCCCUUGAAACUGCAGUGCUAGAAUUCUGGAGAGGCGAGUGGAAUUCCGAGUGUAGAGGUGAAAUUCGUAGAUAUUCGGAAGAACACCAGUGGCGAAGGCGACUCGCUGGACAGACAUUGACGCUCAGGCACGAAAGCGUGGGGAGCAAACAGG
rnacentral:rRNA from 1 species